UGGUAGCAUUGUUUGUUGUUUUUUCAGCUACAGUCAACGCCCAUCUCGGCCCUUUCUGUCUCCGCUUAUUCAUCCAGUCAAUAAAAUAUUCCAAAGUAAAUUUCAUCUUCCAGGAUCCAGAGGGCACAUUAAACCUGACUGAGGACUGCUCCGAUCCAGACUUGAAGGACAUGUUGAGCCAUUUGACCAUGAACAAAGGUGUAAACUCAUUACAGGCCGAGCAAAGUAGAGUCCGCGCAAUUCUCCGACUGAAAAGGAGGCACGAACGGAGAGCAAAGAAGUUGCGCACAUGCAAUGCUUUGCUCUGGCUUAAGAAUGAGUUCAACGUAACCACAAUUAAGGCAAGAAUCGGCUGCUGUGCUCAUUGCGAUGGUCGUCAAACUUUUCUGAGAACUGCAGCUAAUUUCACGAUUAGGGAGUUCUUCAGAAUAACUGACCCCAAUGAGCCGCAGACCGAGCAACACCACUGCCGAAAAUGCCGCCGAAAACGACCUUUCCGAUUCGUCUACGUGAUUCCAAGUGGUGGUAGAGACCAACGCUACUGAAAGAUCUUUGAUGCGUUAUUGAUCUACCACCAGCCCUGAAGAGCUAUUGGAAUUUUUGCCUCAAAACGUGACGAUCGGAAGAAAAAGAUGGACGUUAAGAUCAGCAUCUUGCGGCAUUUUUGGCAGAGGACUGUGCCACCAAAUUACCAUGAACAGAGACAAGGACGGACGGAUCUGUGUCAACUGCGACUCCGAUCCGUCAAAACGAUCAAUUACUUAUGACGAAUACAAAGCCAGAGGAUUUGUGCCAAAAAGGAUAUCCAUGGAUAUUUCCUUUGCGGUGUACUCCCUGGUCUAGUAUCAAGAAAAUGAACGCCCGUGACCAUGACCUUCCCAUUUACCAAGUGACCUGACAACAUUAAUCCUGCAGUCAACAAGCCGCAAGUUCUUUGUCUCGCAUAGAACUUGCGCACAACUUGUGACCAACGACAACAAGCAACAAACAAGUGAAGAGACUCUUAUCAAGAAAAAUCUACUGGAGAGGGAAUUGUUGCUGCCGUAUCGUCGAGGAGAGCAACCAUCUGCGAGCGCCUCUGCCGAAUACCUCGAUAGCCUGCCCUCAGUCUGUAUGUUUUACUUUGACCCCUUCCUGCCUCUCUGCAUCUGAAUCCCGACCUUUUGGCUGUGACGUCUAGUUUAAUAAAAAAGUAGCAAGCUUAAAUUUUAAGCAAUUUUUGUUAAAAUACGGUACCUCUAAUCGAAAUGACAAUGCCUGAUUGUGAAGUAAAAUCUGAAGUAGCUGCGUAAUUUCACAAAAACUAUUUUAUCAAAAGAAAAACUUUUUUUUAAAUAUUUUGCUCCAUAUUUUCUUCUCUCAAGGCAACACUGCUGACACACUCGUCUCUGCUCCUUAUGCAGCAACAGAAAAUGAAAAUUUUAAAACUAAAAUACGUAAUCAAUAAUUCAUUAAAAGAAUGAAUAAUUAGUUUUAAAAAUUCAAAUUUGAGUAAAAGACGAGAAUCCUCUCCUUUAGCAAACUUGUAUGUUGGGUUGAUUUGGUUUUAAGUUCUUUUUUUUAGUAAUUUCUGCUUGGUGGCGGGCAAAUUCAGACAUAUUAUUAUUUUUGACCCGCUCCAUCUAAUGAAUGUCCACCGCUAGGUGCUGCGCGUAUUUCUAUUUGGCAUAAUUAUCACAAUUAUUAAUUACUAUAGCAUUUUGUAUGAUUAUGUCAUGUGGUUUAUUGUACAACGCACACACGCGCAAAUAAUAAAUGACAUUAUAUUAAAAGAGCUAGAGCAAAUCUUACAUUAAUAAUCUGAAAUAAACUAAAACGUAAAUUGCUUAUUUGAACUCGCACCUAUAGAAAUUAAUUUUUAAUUAACAUGUUUUAUUAAUGUAACCUUCAUUAAGAUUGUUUCCAAUUGCAGCAAAAAAAUUAUCGCUAAUAGAUGAUAAUUAAUUUUCAAAGCUGUAGCAUCAGAUAUUUAUUUUUUUGCAUCAAAUAAAUUAUUAUUAACAUUUUUUUUUUAAAUGUUUAGCGUAAUUGUCAAUAAAAUUACGCAAAACGUGAUACAUAUGAGAAUUAUGAAACGGCAAGCCUUGAUAAUUAAAUUCUAAUUUUAAUUCGUGAACUCAUUCAUAUCGAACUACCAAUUGCGCGUGCAAUUAAAGAAGACACGUGCUUGAUCAAUUAAUUACAUUUCCUUGUUCCUCUCUCUCUCUCUCGUUACACGACUGAAGUCUGCAGCAGAGUGAGGUGUCAUUUUUUUGUAAUGGAUCGAUCGAAUA